CGUGUAGGCGGGUCUUUAAGUCAGGGGUGAAAUGCCAAGGCUCAACCUUGGAACUGCCUUUGAUACUGGAGAUCUUGAGUCCGGGAGAGGUGAGUGGAAUUGCAAGUGUAGAGGUGAAAUUCGUAGAUAUUCGCAAGAACACCAGUGGCGAAGGCGGCUCACUGGCCCGGAACUGACGCUGAGACGCGAAAGCGUGGGGAGCAAACA
rnacentral:rRNA from 1 species